CCUACGGCGGUCAGCAGUGGGGAAUAUUGGACAAUGGGCGAAAGCCUGAUCCAGCCAUGCCGCGUAUGUGAAGAAGGCCUUCGGGUUGUAAAGCACUUUCAGUGGGGAAGAAAGCCUUGGGGCUAAUACCCUCGAGGAAGGACAUCACCCACAGAAGAAGCACCGGCUAACUCCGUGCCAGCAGCCGCGGUAAUACGGAGGGUGCGAGCGUUAAUCGGAAUUACUGGGCGUAAAGCGCGCGUAGGCGGUCUGAUAAGCCGGUUGUGAAAGCCCCGGGCUCAACCUGGGAACGGCAUCCGGAACUGUCAGGCUAGAGUGCAGGAGAGGAAGGUAGAAUUCCCGGUGUAGCGGUGAAAUGCGUAGAGAUCGGGAGGAAUACCAGUGGCGAAGGCGGCCUUCUGGACUGACACUGACGCUGAGGUGCGAAAGCGUGGGUAGCAAACAGGAUUAGAUACCCGUGUAGUC
rnacentral:rRNA from 1 species